rnacentral:rRNA from 1 species
CGCCCUUAGAGUUUGAUCAUGGCUCAGAUUGAACGCUGGCGGCAGGCUUAACACAUGCAAGUCGAGCGGUAGGAGAGCUUGCUCUCUACGAGCGGCGGACGGGUGAGUAAUGUCUGGGAAACUGCCUGAUGGAGGGGGAUAACUACUGGAAACGGUAGCUAAUACCGCAUAAUGUCGCAAGACCAAAGAGGUUCGUCUUGCCAUCAGAUGUGCCCAGAUGGGAUUAGCUAGUAGGUGGGGUAAUGGCUCACCUAGGCGACGAUCCCUAGCUGGUCUGAGAGGAUGACCAGCCACACUGGAACUGAGACACGGUCCAGACUCCUACGGGAGGC